GUGAUGAUGGUGCAGUGACGCCCGUCCGAUAGUAUAUCGAGUUCACGGAUGGCCCGGGUUCGAUUCCAGGUCGUCACC